UUGCAUUAUUCUUAAAGUUGUAAUUUUGUAUCUAGUUUCAUGAAAAUCUACAACAAAAAUCUAUUUUUUUGGCUCCUUCUAAAAGUUGUACUGUGGUAAUGGGAAUAAAGUUUUAUCAUUUUCUUUGCAUUAGGCUUUCAUAGGUGUAUUUUAGUAUACACUUGCUAUCAGGUUAUAGAUACCAAUAGUUCAUAAUACUAUAAAUUGGCUAAACA